UAAAUGCCAUAUUAAAAAUUCGUAUUCAUGUUCUAAAGUUCUAUAGAUAUUUGAAUUAUUCAUGUCAUGAUAUUCUGUCAUCCCUUAUGAAGCAUAUGAGCAUGUCAUGAAGCAUAAGUUACGCAUUAAAAAUAUUUUUAUCAUGACCCAAGUUAGGAUGGUGGAUUAUCCUAGUAGAACUCCUCUGUCUACUCUAGAGUACAUAAAUGUAGAGUGGAGUCUCCUGGGUUAACGAAGAAUAGUUAGUGACAUCGAAAGAGAUAGUAAUAGUCUUGGAGCGAGGGUAAGUAUGUGCCUUCUUGCUGGUGGAGGCUAGAGAGUACUAUAAGUGAAGGACGUUUACAUGAAGUUUGAGUACUCUUGAGACGAAGCCAUAGGCAGUGUUACCUGUCGUGUGGUGAAGAUAACUAUUGGAUUGACCUGCUUAAGUUCUUCAUCAACAAAGGAGCUGAAGUACCUUAUCUCAAUCACAGACCUCUGUAGAUCUAUCCAGCGGCACAAAUAAUGAUUCAAUCGAAAAAAUACUCUUCUGGGAUAUCUAGCCACCAGUCAAUCAAUAUCAUUAUGAAGAACAUGCAACAGAUCCAUUUAGGCCAGACCGGUAAGGUGAAACCGAAAGUGCAUCACUCAUUCCAGACCAAUUCUAAGAUGAAAGUAGAAGUCAGGAAUUCAGUCGAGAUCAGGAGUAGUACUAAGGUGCAAAUGCCAAGUACUAAUUUCCAGUCAUCAGUCAAAAUCAGAAAGGAGAAAAUGGAAAUGAUCCAGUCCUCAAAUUCUUCCGGCCACACAAGCAGGAACAUCGGCCGCCAACUAAUGCUACCAUCGAAGGAGACCAGUAAGGGGCAAGGUCAAAAUAUAAGACCAGUAAGGAAGAGUAGUAACCACCACUCAGGAUCUUGCCACACAACCAGGACCAGUACUAAGAGCAGUACUAGAGAAGAGCAAAAGAGUACUGAAACCCGAAAGCACUAUUAUAGAAAACCAUAAGCAGCAAAGCCACACAUGAUCAGUGAUCUAGCUGUUUGGGAAAAUAAGUUGACAGUACGUUCGGUAUUGCUCUAAUUAGUAGUAUUCUAUAUAUUGUGAUCGAUCGGUGUUUGUGUUUUUUCUUUAAGAUGUACGUACGGUGGUGUAUUUGAUGAUCUGUGGGAUGAUGCCUUUUAAUAGUACAAUAUACUUAUAAUUGUUGCCUUUUUAUUUCCACCGGUCUUGAAUUCGUAAUCAUGUAUAGGGAAUCCGAUGGAGUUAAAUAAAACUCGGUUACCUUGGAUCA